ensembl:lncRNA
ACAGGAUACACUCCGGACAUCAGAGCUUUUACGGUUUUUUCUGUUCUGCCAUGCUGUGAAUGAAGGCCGUGCGGCGUGUGAAACACCAGCAUCCAGAAAAACUUGUUUACAUGAAUAAAAUGCAAUGGAAAGCUCAGCUGAAACACUCCACAGAGAAGAUGCGAGCGACACCGAUCUCCCCAUGCCUUUGAGGGACGAUCUAGAAGCAAUACACCUGUAUGAGAGCAUUGAUGACCUAUCACAAAAUGAUGGGCCUAAUUUGUACGACAUCCCAGAAUCCCCCACUUUAACCCAGCCUAAACCUGGAAAUGAUAUCUGGAAUUUUGAGAUCGGAGGUCCUGGAAAUACCAACCAGCAGAGCACCAUUGGUCGCCCCCCAGUACCCCCAAGAUCUCCUAAUCUACAAAGAUGUAGGCUUCCCAGUGAAUGUUUGAGAGGAGAAAAGGUCCUUCGACUUCCUCCUCCUCCUCCUCCUCCCAGGCCGGGACUCAAAAAGCAGGUUUCUUGUGAUUUCAGCGAGCCUCUUCAAAGACUGACUCGCUCCAAGACCGUAUGCAACCAAGAUAUAUGGGCCAUCACACUCAUAGACACUCCGGAGGGCAGCACCAAGACAAUGGUUUCGUUUUCUGCUGCAACUGCCAGCUUAAUGUCAAAAUACAAGCACACAGAAAGUCUUUACAACUCCGGUUUGGUAUGCGGUCGACUGCUGGACAUCAACCGUGCUCUGCUGCAGCAGGUCGAGGUGACUAUCAGUGUGGUGUGGGACCAAAACCAGAUCCCCAUUCCCACCUCAGUGAACAGGACAGUGAAGAGUCUGAUCGAGGACAUCUCCCAGCUUCUAGACAUCCCUCCUGACCAAUCUGAGCAUUGCGUAUUAAAACUGUGCGACUCCGAGGAGGUUCUCCAGAAUGAAGAGCUGCUCGGCAUGCACGAGACAAUUCAGAUCUACUACAAGCUUAAUCUAGAAGUCCCCGUCCGACUGGUAAACAUCAACAGCAUCAAACGUGGACUGGCCAGAGAUGCUGAGUCUUCAGAGUGUGCUCAACACCUACUGUAGAGAGGCAAAAGAGCUCUUCAGUAAUAAGUCUGGGGUGAAUAUUGGUGUUAUUGUGAGCCGUGCUCGGACCAUCAGCAACCUUCUGUGUGGUGUCACGUGCCAAGAACUGGAGGAUGCCAUUGGCAACCUCA